AGCUCUGGAAGCCCCCUCGCCUUAAUGCAGCGCCCGCCGACGUCACGGCAGCCCGCGACCAAUCAGCGGCUCGCGGUCCCUCUGUAAACCAUCCUGCAUCCCGCGGCCGCGGAGAGUGCGGGGAGACCGCGAUUAGAGCAUCAGUGGCGGCCGGCUCCGCUGCCCGGCGCGCCCCGCUCCCCUCCGGCUCCGUUUUUACCCACUGUGGAGAAAGGGGAUCUCUUGCUGGUCCCUUCUUUUCAGAGGGCCGAAGGCUGCACAGGAUCUCUAGACAAUGAGCCAGAAAGGAAAGAGCAAGGUGUAGCUGAUUAGCAAGUUAAUUAUUUCAGUACCCCAAGGGUUCCAGUGUGGUGGAGAGCCAGCUUCCUGACAUCAGCAGUGUGAAGAUGAUGCACUACGUCUUGGUGCUGGCAUUCAGCUGUUCUUCAAGCAGGUUGGCUGGUGUACCUGUUGCCAAAGAGAGGUGACGUCUAUUUGGAAAGAUAGCUAUGAAAACCAUUUCUUUGCUGGUGACAGGAUUUGGGAGAAGGCAAGGGUGGUCCAAUCACUAUUUGAAUUUGAUGGUCUUUACCCUAUAAGUCUAAGGAGCUUCAGUAAGUGAGAUGUUAUUGAGAGGCAUUUAGAAUGUGGGAAGGCAGAUGUACGGAGUUUCUCAUCCCAGUCUUGGUACUGUCAUGCCAGGAGCAGGGAAAACAGAUUCUAGAGAGUAGAGCUUUUUGGUUUCAUGUAAGAACUUGGCUCUGGCUCCUGGGAGAUUAAGAAGACCUCGUGGGCCAAGAGAUAGAUAGUUCAUCUGGCAGAAUGUACACCUUUCCAUGCUCAAGGCUCAAGGUUUGAACCCCCAAAACCACACGCAAGUAUCAUGGAUCCAGGGAAAGUUCCAAGGAUGAUGAAGCAGAGCUGUGGUGCCUCUUUUCCACCUUAUCGGACAUUAAAAAAAAAAGAACAAAAAAGUUGGUCCAGAAGCAGUGGAAUUUUGCAUGUGUGAGACUUCAGAGCUGGAAAAAAAAAAGUCCUUUGAAAAAUAGGUAAGAUGUACAAGUGCCCAGUGGUUAAUAAGGGAGCAUUUUAAUCUUUGUUUUAUUUUUUGUUUAUAUUUACACAUUCUUUAUUUUAAAUUUCUUUAUUGGCGGAUUAAUAGUUUAUAGUUGACAGUAAAAUACAAGUUUGGACAUGCAUAACAUUUCCUAGUUUUCCACAUAACAAUACAACCCCCACUAGGUCCUCCUCUGGGGAGCAUUUUUAGUAAUAGCUUAUUACAACUCUCUCUUGUGAUUCUACCAUUUUCUUUUCUUUUUCCUCCUCUACAUCCUCCUCUUCUUCCCCCCCCCCCCAGAGUACUAUUCAGCUAUGGCUUAUGGUGGUGCUGGGGAUUGAACUUGGGAGCUAUGAGCCUCAGGCAUGAAAGUUUUUUUUGCAUAACCAUUAUGCUGUCUCAGCUUAGUUCUGUCAUUUUCUUGCUCAUAUUCUAAUUUGGAUUUACAGAUUGAAAGCCUGGCUUUCACAGUUCUAAAGGCUUUCUUCUCUGGCUAUUCAAAAUUAUUCAACAUUUUAAGCCAUUGACCAGUGUACAUUUUGAAAGGUAAGCUGGCAAACCUGUAAUGAAUAAUGUGCAAUCUUGUUUUCACAUGGCUUAAGGAAAGAUAGUGCUCCUUUAAAAAAUAAAGCUGCUUGGGAGGUGAUGCACUGGUUAAAACUGGACCUAAGAGCAUGAGAUCCUGAGUUUGAUGGCCAGCAUCACAUGUGGCAAAUUGAUGCUCUGGCUCUUUCUAUCCCCUGCUCAUUAAUACAUAAAAAUUAAAAAAAAAAAGAGGCAAAGAAUUUCUAUGAAUCUCUAAAUGAAGGGUUUACUACUCUAAGUCGAUAAGUUCUGUGCUCUUUUUACUCAUUCUGAAUGAACAACUUUGUCAUUCAACCUGAGGGUCUGCAGAGCUUAUUAAAAAUGCUUCCUUUGGUUUCUCCAUUUGAACACAUGCUGGGGCCUGGGCCUGCCUCUGACAGACAGGGAGGAGGAGAGACAUUCCAGAACCAGGGCUCAGAAUGUUAUCUCUUUCCCCACCCCAAAUCCUCACCCUCCACUUUAUCUCUCUUUACUACAGAUGCAGAGCCCUCCUAGGGAAGUGUGAAGGGAUGGGCUUUAAUCAGAUUUGGGGGAGCUUGGGGAAUGAACUGAGCACAAAGGAAGAUGGGGUUGGUUAGAAAUUUUUGAUGAUGCUUUCCUGUUAUACUUCUUAUGGUUGUAGAUUGUAUCCUAUAAAUUAUGUAUUUGUCACAGUAAUCUACAGUGUAUACAUGGCAUUUGCCAAAUGCUGCUUGGCUAGAACAAUGUUAAAUAAAAUUGUUAGAAGUGCUA